rnacentral:lncRNA from 1 species
CAGCAGGUAGUUGUUUUUGGUUGGAGUUCAUGUACAUACAGAUAUUUAGCUCGCCAGUGCGUGUAGUUUUGUAGAUUGGAUUUGAUGUAUGUAUAUGGAACUCAGUUUGUUUUUAGUUACUGGUUCUUCUAGCAGCUCUAUACUACUGUUUGUAGUAUUGUAUGUUAUACAAGUACAGCUAUCGCUUCGUAUACAAGAAAAAUUCCUUUGUAUACGGCGGAUUUGUCGGCGUGCCCGGGGAUCGAGUAAUCCGGGGCGUGAC